CCUACGGGAGGCAGCAGUGAGGAAUAUUGGUCAAUGGGCGGAAGCCUGAACCAGCCAAGUCGCGUGAGGGAUUAAGGCCCUGCGGGUCGUAAACCUCUUUUGCCGGGGAGCAGAGGUCCGGACGUGUCCGGGCCGGGAGAGUACCCGGAGAAAAAGCAUCGGCUAACUCCGUGCCAGCAGCCGCGGUAAUACGGGGGAUGCGAGCGUUACCCGGAUUUAUUGGGUUGAAAGGGUGCGUAGGCGGGCAUUUAAGCCGGCGGUCAAAUGUCGGGGCUCAACCCCGGCCUGCCGUCGGAACUGGGUGCCUUGAGUGGGCGAGAAGUAUGCGGAAUGCGUGGUGUAGCGGUGAAAUGCAUAGAUAUCACGCAGAACCCCGAUUGCGAAGGCAGCAUACCGGCGCCCUACUGACGCUGAGGCACGAAAGUGCGGGUAUCGAACAGGAUUAGAUACCCGGGUAGUU
rnacentral:rRNA from 1 species